UCAGAGUGGUAUUACUCUUCUCCCACUGAUCUCACAGUAGCAGACAUGGAACCCUGGCUGAGGAAUGUACUGAUUCUUGCUGCAUUUUGUUAUGAAUGCAGAGGAGAAGACACAGUCAUUCAGCCACCAGGAGAUGUGACUGCCACUGAGGGAGGACAGGUCACACUGGACUGUCAAUUUGAUGCAGUUAAUACUAAUAAUCUCUACCUGUUCUGGUACAAGCAUGAAUUACAUGGCUUCCCAAAGUUCAUGCUGGGACUUUUUUCUUUUAGAAGUACAAAUGCCACUGGAUAUGAGGAGAGAUUUGAUGCCCAUCUAGAUAAAGACUCAAAAUCUGUCCCUUUGACGAUCCAGAGGGUGCAGCUGUCUGACUCUGCUGUGUACUACUGUGCUCUGAAGCCCACUGUGACAACAGGAUAUACAGCCCCCCUACAAAAACUAGUGUAGCCUUGGCGCUAAUGUAGAAAAAUGCAAGCCUUGUGUGGGUGUGAUGUUAGCAGGGCUGCAUACCUCACACAGUAAUACACAGAGAGUGAAUGCAUACAAACAUCAGUCUGAAGAUGGAGAAAUCAACCAGUGUAUUGAUCAUUCU